rnacentral:rRNA from 1 species
CGGCGUGCUUAACACAUGCAAGUCGAACGGAAAGGCCCUGCUUUUGUGGGGCGCUCGAGUGGCGAACGGGUGAGUAACACGUGAGUAACCUGCCCUUGACUUUGGGAUAACUUCAGGAAACUGGGGCUAAUACCGGAUAGGAGCUCCUGCUGCAUGGUGGGGGUUGGAAAGUUUCGGCGGUUGGGGAUGGACUCGCGGCUUAUCAGCUUGUUGGUGGGGUAGUGGCUUACCAAGGCUUUGACGGGUAGCCGGCCUGAGAGGGUGACCGGCCACAUUGGGACUGAGAUACGGCCCAGACUCCUACGGGAGGCAGCAGUGGGGAAUAUUGCACAAUGGGCGGAAGCCUGAUGCAGCAACGCCGCGUGCGGGAUGACGGCCUUCGGGUUGUAAACCGCUUUCGCCUGUGACGAAGCGUGAGUGACGGUAAUGGGUAAAGAAGCACCGGCUAACUACGUGCCAGCAGCCGCGGUGAUACGUAGGGUGCGAGCGUUGUCCGGAUUUAUUGGGCGUAAAGGGCUCGUAGGUGGUUGAUCGCGUCGGAAGUGUAAUCUUGGGGCUUAACCCUGAGCGUGCUUUCGAUACGGGUUGACUUGAGGAAGGUAGGGGAGAAUGGAAUUCCUGGUGGAGCGGUGGAAUGCGCAGAUAUCAGGAGGAACACCAGUGGCGAAGGCGGUUCUCUGGGCCUUUCCUGACGCUGAGGAGCGAAAGCGUGGGGAGCGAACAGGCUUAGAUACCCUGGUAGUCCACGCUGUAAACGGUGGGUACUAGGUGUGGGGUCCAUUCCACGGGUUCCGUGCCGUAGCUAACGCUUUAAGUACCCCGCCUGGGGAGUACGGCCGCAAGGCUAAAACUCAAAGGAAUUGACGGGGCCCCGCACAAGCGGCGGAGCAUGCGGAUUAAUUCGAUGCAACGCGUAGAACCUUACCUGGGUUUGACAUGGAUCGGGAGUGCUCAGAGAUGGGUGUGCCUCUUUUGGGGUCGGUUCACAGGUGGUGCAUGGCUGUCGUCAGCUCGUGUCGUGAGAUGUUGGGUUAAGUCCCGCAACGAGCGCAACCCUUGUUCACUGUUGCCAGCACGUUAUGGUGGGGACUCAGUGGAGACCGCCGGGGUCAACUCGGAGGAAGGUGGGGAUGACGUCAAGUCAUCAUGCCCCUUAUGUCCAGGGCUUCACGCAUGCUACAAUGGCUGGUACAGAGAGUGGCGAGCCUGUGAGGGUGAGCGAAUCUCGGAAAGCCGGUCUCAGUUCGGAUUGGGGUCUGCAACUCGACCUCAUGAAGUCGGAGUCGCUAGUAAUCGCAGAUCAGCAACGCUGCGGUGAAUACGUUCCCGGGGCUUGUACACACCGCCCGUCAAGUCAUGAAAGUUGGUAACACCCGAAGCCGGUGGCCUAACCGUUGUGGGGGAGCCGUCGAAGGUGGGACUGGUGAUUAGG